UCAUGCUAGACGGGGAGAUAGCGAUUCCCUGUAACCCGCAAUUCGCUAUAGCGGGGUUGAAUUCCUACCCGAGGUAAUUCAAGUUAAGGGUCAGCAUGAAGGGGGAAGUGUUGAGAGUUGGGUCCCAUGCAAUAGGAGCUUGCGAACCUGGUCAGAACGGGAACGUAGCAGCCAUAAGCGAAAUUUCCUAUGUGUUAUGGGGCAACCUAACUUGAGCUUUAUCCUCUCCAGUAGCGCUUUGGCAUGGUUAUCGGAGGUAGGUGCAUGA
rfam:Candidatus Schekmanbacteria bacterium RBG_16_38_11 RBG_16_scaffold_18955, whole genome shotgun sequence.